rnacentral:rRNA from 1 species
CCUACGGGAGGCAGCAGUGGGGAAUAUUGCACAAUGGGGGAAACCCUGAUGCAGCGACGCCGCGUGAGUGAAGAAGUAUUUCGGUAUGUAAAGCUCUAUCAGCAGGGAAGAAAAUGACGGUACCUGAGGAAGAAGGCACGGCUAACGACGUGCCAGCAGCCGCGGGAAUACGUAGGGGGCAAGCGUUAUCCGGAUUUACUGGGGGUAAUGGGAGCGUAGACGGCAGCACAAGUCUGGAGUGAAAUGCCGGGGCUUAACCCCGGAACUGCUUUGGAAACUGUGCAGCUAGAGUGCAGGGGAGGUAAGUGGAAUUCCUUGUGUAGCUGUGAACUGCGUAGUUAUUAGGAGGAACACCAGUGGCGAAGGCGGCUUACUGGACUGUAACUGACGUUGCGGCUCGCAAGCGUGGGGAGCAAACAGGAUUAGAUACCCUUGUAGUC